ensembl:snRNA U4 U4 spliceosomal RNA
AACUUUGCACGAUGGCAGUAUCGUAGCUAAUGAGAUUUAUCUGAGGCACGAUUAUUGCUAAUUAAAAACUUUUCUCAGGUGAUAAUAGCUUUUUUUAUACAUUCUUUGGCAUUUUCAUCAUAAA